rnacentral:rRNA from 1 species
UACGAAGGGGGCUAGCGUUGCUCGGAAUCACUGGGCGUAAAGGGUGCGUAGGCGGGUUAUUAAGUCAGAGGUGAAAUCCUGGAGCUCAACUCCAGAACUGCCUUUGAUACUGAUAGUCUUGAGUACGGGAGAGGUGAGCGGAACUGCGAGUGUAGAGGUGAAAUUCGUAGAUAUUCGCAAGAACACCAGUGGCGAAGGCGGCUCACUGGCCCGUUACUGACGCUGAGGCACGAAAGCGUGGGGAGCAAACAGG